rnacentral:rRNA from 1 species
AUUGAACGCUGGCGGCAUGCCUUACACAUGCAAGUCGAACGGCAGCACGGGGCAACCUGGUGGCGAGUGGCGAACGGGUGAGUAAUGCAUCGGAACGUGCCAUUGAGUGGGGGAUAACGUAGCGAAAGUUGCGCUAAUACCGCAUAUUCUGUGAGCAGGAAAGCAGGGGACCGCAAGGCCUUGCGCUCUUUGAGCGGCCGAUGUCAGAUUAGCUAGUUGGUGAGGUAAAGGCUUACCAAGGCGACGAUCUGUAGCGGGUCUGAGAGGAUGAUCCGCCACACUGGAACUGAGACACGGUCCAGACUCCUACGGGAGGCAGCAGUGGGGAAUUUUGGACAAUGGGCGCAAGCCUGAUCCAGCCAUGCCGCGUGAGUGAAGAAGG